AUGGCCGCUAUAACGUAGCCGCAGCCUGUUUUCAUAACAGUCCCUGAAAUAUGUGUUAUUCGCGAGCGACACGCGAAACUCGCAUAACCGGAAGGAAGGAAAGGUUUGAACGCCGUGAUGUCCAUAUGCAAAACACAAUGGUAGUUUUUCACGAGUGUUGCCGUAAAAUAAUGUCGUGACGUUCUCGCGAGAUCUAUUUUCGCCGUCAAUUUCACAAGUUUCUUUAGCGACUGCCGUUGCUCGAUUAAAGUGCACCUUGAUGGACGGACGUUGCAGUCGGAGACUAGUUGAGUUUUCCCAAGUGGGAAACUUCGUAUUUCAGAACACUACCAACCGAAUGAUGCCGGCAGCAAAACCAGCUAGUAGGUCACUACUGCACUUUUUCGAAUUCUUAAGAAAAAUAGAAAAGUAGAAAAUGACGUUGUCGGGAUAACCUUACCUUAACGUAUUGCGCCAUUCCCACCAUCCAGGUAAUUCCUUUAAGUCCUUGCCAACGUAUCCCACAUACGAAAUCGUCCAUAGCGGCCAGCAUCGUUCCACAAGAAAAUCCACCAAGCACGAAAAUCAUUCCAACUAUACUUAAAGACGUGCACCGAUGUAAAUAAGAUUUAAAGAGUCGACCAGAGGAAGCCAUUGUAAUUCUCCCUAAGAGCUUCCGAGUAUGGAGGCAAGAUGGCGUCCCGAUCGUAGAUGCCCUUACUAUUAUUGCGAUGAACUGACCCCCUGUCGUAGUUCGAAAGUUUGCCGCAAGGGUCGCUAAACGAAACGAAUGUAAACAACGCAGAAACCCGAAGUAAAAUCUAAAAGAUGCAAAAGUCAAUCGCGCAGUAUUAAAGAGAAUGAUGCAACGUCAAGCGUAAAGCAAAGUUUUGGUAUCUCUAUUUUGUACAAGUGGGAUGAAUUUCGCGGCGUCUGAACGCGGCUGCGGCUCAUUAUAUCACAGGUUUCUGGAUCCAUGAAAUUUAUGCAAAACGUGUAACAUCACCGAAUUUAUUUGGCCUCUUGCCUAUUUCGGCUCUGCCCAGAGGAGAUCGUCCUUACUGCUGCUGCUGCUGCAGGCUCAAAAGUCUCGCACGGACACCAGCUGAAAUCUUGACUCCGUGUAAAUGGUAAAGUGGAGUUUAGUAACCGGAAUUACUGGAAUAGAUUUACAUGCGAACAAUGAACGAUUGGUUCCAGUUGAGGCACAUAUCCACAUAUGCGGCUUACACAUGUCUAUCUGCUAUUCAAACAGUCGGACUAGCAAAUAACUGGCUAUACGAUACCGCGAAUCCCCAAUGCUGUCAGCGAUUCUGUAUCUUCGUUGGACAGGACUGAAAUCGGGUUGGCCCGGAAUUCCUCCGGAGGGCAAUGACUGAACGACAAGGAGCAAUUAAAGUUUUCAUCAUGACUCCAACGCGAAGGUCUCGGCUCCAAUUUCUGCUACGUCUACGUGCCAGAAGCAUCUGCACACACGUGUCUCUGUAUACCUCUGAGAAUUCGUAAGUCAAAUUACGCCAGGAAAUACGUGUAAAGAAUCUCCGGUGGACCUUUUGAAAAAUUUCCCAAGUUGCAAUCUGCAGCUAAAAAAACUCGAAACUUGUUGCCCUGCAUUUCCAGUACAUCUUGUGUAAAGUGACGUUGCAUCUGCCCCAUAAGGUUUCUAACGGCUGCCGGGACGAUUCCAGCGCAUCGGUAUCGAAGGUGAAAGUUUAUAAUUUACGCUAAUCUCGAUAUGUGAAAUCCGGAUCAGUCGCUAACCUUACUUGGUAACCGCGUUAGAAACUCAUCGUUCAUUAUCAUAGCUGCGAGUCACUUCCGGUUGACCCUGACUGAAAUCGUCCGAAUGGAUCUCCGCGGGUAACUGGAUUUAUGCGAAUGACAGCAGCCCAGGCUGCUCGUCUUAGAAAGUCUUUCACGAGGUGGCUUCUUCUCUGUAAAGCCUGAUCGAACUCUUCUUCCUGACCUUUGACCGGCACGCCAAUGGAAGUUUCGUCAGGGCAUUGGAUAACGAGGAGUGUCCGCAGGAUUUGUUGUUUCUCUUUCGGGAAGUUUGACGUGGUGUAUCUCAAAAUAAAAAAAAAAUAAAAUAAAUGAACGAGUGAAGAUAAUGGCUACGGAUGAUUUCAAUAAAUACUCUAUUAAACGCCAUUCAUGUGCUACACAGUAAAUAUUACAACGUAUUCGUAAUGUAAUAAUAAUAUUAAUAAUAUAUAUAAUAAAAAAUAAUAGUAAAUAAUCAUAAUCAGUUAUUUCGUAUAUAUGCAUAUAUAACAUAAUAUAGGUAUGUUAUAGAUGUAUAUAUAAAUACAUAAGUAUGCCUUUCGAUCACUUCAACAAUCGUCGCCAAAGCUCACUUCGACCUUUGCACUCGGGGAGCAACGUAACGAGAGACUUAUACGUAUGGCAAUUACUUUUAUUCUUCAUUUGAUUAGAUGUGAUUCGUUCCAGGUUUCAUUUUUUUCGCUCAGACACAGCAUACACGCCUAUCUGAUUCUUCUUCGAUAUUUUCAAGAUAUACAUAAAUUCCUCUUAUCGAAUAUUAGAUAACGUUAAAACCACU